rnacentral:rRNA from 1 species
ACUCCUACGGGAGGCAGCAGUGGGGAAUAUUGCACAAUGGGCGCAAGCCUGAUGCAGCCAUGCCGCGUGUAUGAAGAAGGCCUUCGGGUUGUAAAGUACUUUCAGCGGGGAGGAAGGUGUUGUGGUUAAUAACCACAGCAAUUGACGUUACCCGCAGAAGAAGCACCGGCUAACUCCGUGCCAGCAGCCGCGGUAAUAA